AUUGAACGCUGGCGGCAGGCCUAACACAUGCAAGUCGAACGAGUGGCGGACGGGUGAGUAAUGUCUGGGAAACUGCCCGAUGGAGGGGGGUAACUACUGGAAACGGUAGCUAAUACCGCAUACCAUCGGAUGUGCCCAGAUGGGAUUAGCUAGUAGGUGGGGUAACGGCUCACCUGGGCGACGAUCCCUAGCUGGUCUGAUAGGAUGACCAGCCACACUGGAACUGAGAGACGGUCCAAACUCCAACGGGCGGCAGCAGUGGGGAAUAUUGGACAGUGGGCGCAAGCCUGGUGCAGCCAGGCCGCGUGUAUGGAGAGGUCCUUCGGGUUGUAAAGUACUUUCAGCGAGGGGGCGUUACUCGCAGAAGGAGCACCGGCUAGCUCCGUGCCAGCGGCCGCGGUAAUAC
rnacentral:rRNA from 1 species